rnacentral:rRNA from 1 species
CUUGACAUACCGAUGACAGGUCUAGAGAUAGAUUUUCCCUUUUUAGGGCAUCGGAUACAGGUGGUGCAUGGUUGUCGUCAGCUCGUGUCGUGAGAUGUUGGGUUAAGUCCCGCAACGAGCGCAACCCCUAUUGUUAGUUGCCAUCAUUAAGUUGGGCACUCUAGCGAGACUGCCAGUAAUAAACUGGAGGAAGGUGGGGAUGACGUCAAAUCAUCAUGCCCCUUAUGACCUGGGCUACACACGUGCUACAAUGGGAAGUACAACGAGUUGCGAGGCGGUGACGCCAAGCUAAUCUCUUAAAGCUUCUCUCAGUUCGGAUUGUAGGCUGCAACUCGCCUACAUGAAGUCGGAAUCGCUAGUAAUCGCGGAUCAGCACGCCGCGGUGAAUACGUUCCCGGGCCUUGUACACACCGCCCGUCACACCACGAGAGUUUGUAACACCCGAAGUCGGUGAGGUAACCGUAAGGAGCCAACCGCCUAAGGUGGGAUAGAUGAUUGGGGUGAAGUCGUAACAAGGUAGGCGUAGAUGA